AUUUAGAUAGCUUAAAUUUAAAGCAUAACUUUGAAGAAGUUAGUAUAGGGUAAUCCUUCUAAAUG
rnacentral:tRNA from 1 species